UACGGAGGGUGCAAGCGUUAUCCGGAUUCACUGGGUUUAAAGGGUGCGUAGGCGGGCAGGUAAGUCAGUGGUGAAAUCUCCGGGCUUAACCCGGAAACUGCCGUUGAUACUAUCUGUCUUGAAUAUCGUGGAGGUAAGCGGAAUAUGUCAUGUAGCGGUGAAAUGCUUAGAUAUGACAUAGAACACCGAUAGCGAAGGCAGCUUGCUACACGAGUAUUGACACUGAGGCACGAAAGCGUGGGGAUCAAACAGG
rnacentral:rRNA from 1 species